ensembl:lncRNA
AUGGACGCCUCCCAGCUCCACAUCUUAGGGUCACCCAAUGGGGUUAUCUGAAGAACAGGAAUGGAGAAGUGAAGACGACUCUUGUGCAGCCCAAUAAAAAACAGAAAAGACCAAUACGGCUUCACAGUGGUCAAUGGAGUCCCAGAGGAAUUACUGGAAACCAAUAGCAACGCUCGCCUGGAUGUCCCGGGGCUGGUGCAGGCAGGAGCCGGGCAGCGGUACUGCAGCUCGUCUGGCAGCUUUGCAGCUGAGUUGG